GACCGUACCCUAAACCGACACAGGUGGACUGGUAGAGCAUACCAAGGCGCUUGAGAGAACGAUGCUGAAGGAACUCGGCAAAUUACCUCCGUAACUUCGGGAGAAGGAGGCCUCACUCUGGGCAACCAGAACUGAGGGGCACAGACCAGGGGGUUGCGACUGUUUAUCAAAAACACAGGGCUCUGCGAAGCCGCAAGGCGACGUAUAGGGUCUGACGCCUGCCCGGUGCCUGAAGGUUAAAAGGAGAGGUGAGAGCCUUGAAUUGAAGCCCAGGUAAACGGCGGCCGUAACUAUAACGGUCCUAAGGU
rnacentral:rRNA from 1 species